rnacentral:rRNA from 1 species
AUACGUAGGUGGCAAGCGUUGUCCGGAAUUAUUGGGCGUAAAGCGCGCGCAGGCGGUCUCUUAAGUCUGAUGUGAAAGCCCCCGGCUCAACCGGGGAGGGUCAUUGGAAACUGGGAGACUUGAGUACAGAAGAGGAGAGUGGAAUUCCACGUGUAGCGGUGAAAUGCGUAGAUAUGUGGAGGAACACCAGUGGCGAAGGCGACUCUCUGGUCUGUAACUGACGCUGAGGCGCGAAAGCGUGGGGAGCAAACAGGAUUAGAUACCCUGGUAGUCCACGCCGUAAACGAUGAGUGCUAGGUGUUAGGGGUUUCGAUGCCCUUAGUGCCGAAGUUAACACAUUAAGCACUCCGCCUGGGGAGUACGACCGCAAGGUUGAA